rnacentral:rRNA from 1 species
UACAGAGGGUGCGAGCGUUGUUCGGAAUUACUGGGCGUAAAGCGUGUGUAGGCGGUUUGGCAAGUCGGAUGUGAAAGCCCCGGGCUCAACUCGGGAAGUGCACUCGAUACUGCUAAACUUGAGUGUCGGAGAGGUUGGUGGAAUUCUCGGUGUAGAGGUGAAAUUCGUAGAUAUCGAGAGGAACACCGGUGGCGAAGGCGGCCAACUGGACGAACACUGACGCUGAGACACGAAAGCGUGGGGAGCAAACAGG